rnacentral:sRNA from 1 species
AAAGAUUUAUUUCUCUUGACAACCAAGGGCCUCCGUCUGGAUUUCCAAGGAAGAAUUUCCUCUGAAGCACCGGAACUUGCUACUACCAGCACCAUGCCCUACCAAUAUCCAGCACUGACCCCGGAGCAGAAGAAGGAGCUGUCUGACAUCGCUCACCGCAUCGUGGCACCUGGCAAGGGCAUCCUGGCUGCAGAUGAGUCCACUGGGAGCAUUGCCAAGCGGCUGCAGUCCAUUGGCACCGAGAACACCGAGGAGAACCGGCGCUUCUACCGCCAGCUGCUGCUGACAGCUGACGACCGCGUGAACCCCUGCAUUGGGGGUGUCAUCCUCUUCCAUGAGACACUCUACCAGAAGGCGGAUGAUGGGCGUCCCUUCCCCCAAGUUAUCAAAUCCAAGGGCGGUGUUGUGGGCAUCAAGGUAAGGGGAGGGCCUCAGGACGUGAGGUUUGAGAUGGAAGUGGAGGAAGGAAAUCCAGGUUAGUGAGGCAGGGAAUGAAUGCUGGAUUGGUGGCCUAGAGACUUGCAUGGAGCCUGCUUCAGGCUUAGGGCAUUUACUCGACAUUUUUAAUCCUCACAAUUCUGAGAGAACGGUAUCAUUCCCACUUUACACAUGAAAAUCUCAGAAGCUCAGGGAAGUGAAGUGUUUUGCUCAGAGUAAGUGGCAGAGCCCCAGUCUGACACCCAAUUCACUCAACAUUUCUGUUGUCAAAUAACAUCCCAGUGUAUCCUGUCUCAGAGGAUUGUUACUAAGUGAACUAAGUGAAAAUAUUUUAAUUUAAUUGUAACUAAGUAUUUGAGUAACUAAACAUUUUAAGUAAAUUUUUUUUUUUUUUUUUUUUUUGAGAUGGAGUCUCGCUGUCUCCCAGGCUGGAGUGCAGUGGCGCGAUCUCUUGGCUCACUGCAAGUUCCGCCUCCCAGGUUCACGCCAUUCUCCUGCCUCAGCCUCCCGAGUAGCUGGGACUACAGGCGCCCGCCACCACCCAGCUAAUUUUUUUUUGUAUUUUUAGUAGAGACUGGGUUUCACCAUGUUAGCCAGGAUGGUCUCAAUCUCCUGAUCUCGUGAUCUGCCCACCUCGGCCUCCCAAAGUGCUGGGAUUACAGGCGUGAGCCACCAUGCGCGGCUUAAGUAACUAAAUAUUUUAAUUGUAACUAAGUGAAAAUAUUUGCCAGCCCUGAGAUGCAGCUUAAGGGAUUAAGUAAAUGUGGGGGAAGACUGGGGCUAAAGAAGAGGAAAGAGGGGCACGCCCAGCUACCUAGGAGGCUGAGGCGGGAGGAUCACUUGAGUCCAGGAAGUGGAGGCUUCAGUGAGCUGAGAUUCCACCACUGUACUCCAGCCGGGGCGACAGUGGAAAGGGUGCUAGAGGUCAUUUCCUGUGUCUUAAUGUUGUUACCCUGACCCCAACAGGUAGACAAGGGCGUGGUCCCCCUGGCAGGGACAAAUGGCGAGACUACCACCCAAGGUGAGAACUGUUUGAUUCUCUGCCCUACGAACCCAACCAGAGCAGGUUUGGGUGCUGGGAGGAGUGGAAACCACAUGCCCUUCCCCACCGUGCUCUGACCCCUCCCUCUUCUCUUAGGGUUGGAUGGGCUGUCUGAGCGCUGUGCCCAGUACAAGAAGGAUGGAGCUGACUUCGCCAAGUGGCGUUGUGUGCUGAAGAUUGGGGAACACACCCCCUCAGCCCUCGCCAUCAUGGAAAAUGCCAAUGUUCUGGCCCGUUAUGCCAGUAUCUGCCAGCAGAAUGGCAUUGUGCCCAUCGUAGAGCCUGAGAUCCUCCCUGAUGGGGACCAUGACUUGAAGCGCUGCCAGUAUGUGACCGAGAAGGUGCUGGCUGCUGUCUACAAGGCUCUGAGUGACCACCACAUCUACCUGGAAGGCACCUUGCUGAAGCCCAACAUGGUCACCCCAGGCCAUGCUUGCACCCAGAAGUUUUCUCAUGAGGAGAUUGCCAUGGCGACUGUCACAGCGCUGCGCCGCACAGUGCCCCCCGCUGUCACUGGGAUCACCUUCCUGUCUGGAGGCCAGAGUGAGGAGGAGGCGUCCAUCAACCUCAAUGCUAUUAACAAGUGCCCCCUGCUGAAGCCCUGGGCCCUGACCUUCUCCUACGGCCGAGCCCUGCAGGCCUCUGCCCUGAAGGCCUGGGGCGGGAAGAAGGAGAACCUGAAGGCUGCGCAGGAGGAGUAUGUCAAGCGAGCCCUGGCCAACAGCCUUGCCUGUCAAGGAAAGUACACUCCGAGCGGUCAGGCUGGGGCUGCUGCCAGCGAGUCCCUCUUCGUCUCUAACCACGCCUAUUAAGCGGAGCUGUUCCCAGGCUGCCCCCAACACUCCAGGCCCUGCCCCCUCCCACUCUUGAAGAGGAGGCCUCCUCCUCGGGGCUCCAGGCUGGCUUGCCCGCGCUCUUUCCUCCCUCGUGACAGUGGUGUGUGGUGUCGUCUGUGAAUGCUAAGUCCAUCACCCUUUCCGGCACACUGCCAAAUAAACAGCUAUUUAAGGGGGAGUCGGCCGUCCGUGUCUUGUGGUGUCUAAUGCAGGGGAGGGCC